rnacentral:rRNA from 1 species
CCUACGGGGGGCAGCAGUGGGGAAUAUUGCACAAUGGGGGAAACCCUGAUGCAGCGACGCCGCGUGAAGGAAGAAGGUUUUCGGAUCGUAAACUUCUAUCAGCAGGGAAGAAGAAAGUGACAGUACCUGACUAAGAAGCCCCGGCUAACUACGUGCCAGCAGCCGCGGUAAUACGUAGGGGGCAAGCGUUAUCCGGAAUCACUGGGUGUAAAGGGUGCGUAGGCGGUAGGGCAAGUCAGAUGUGAAAGCCCGGGGCUCAACACCGGGAUUGCAUUUGAAACUGUCUUACUAGAGUGCAAGGAAGGAUAGUGGAAUCCCGAGUGUAGUGGUGAAAUGCGGAGAGAUUAGGAAGACGACCAGUGGCGAAGGCGGCUUUCGGGACUGUAACUGACGCUGGGGGACGAAGGCGUGGGGAGCGAACAGGAUUAGAUACCCCUGUAGUC